GCCCUAGUAGCUUAAAAACAAAGCACCGGUUUUGUAAUCCGGAGAAUGAAGACUAAAGCCCUUCCUAGCGCC
rnacentral:tRNA from 1 species